AUACGGAGGUUGCAAGCGUUGUUCGGAAUGACUGGGCGUAAAGGGAGCGCAGGCGGUUUGAUAAGUCUGGAGUGAAAGCCCGGGGCUCAACCCCGGCGGGUCUUUGGAUACUGUCAAACUUGAGUACGGAAGAGGAGAGUGGAAUUCCAGGUGUAGCGGUGAAAUGCGUAGAUAUCUGGAGGAACACCGGUGGCGAAAGCGGCUCUCUGGUCCGAUACUGACGCUCAUGCUCGAAAGCGUGGGGAGC
rnacentral:rRNA from 1 species